GACGAACGCUGGCGGCGUGCCUAAUACAUGCAAGUCGAACGCACUCUCGUUUAGAUUGAAGGAGCUUGCUCCUGAUUGAUAAACAUUUGAGUGAGUGGCGGACGGGUGAGUAACACGUGGGUAACCUGCCCUAAAGUGGGGGAUAACAUUUGGAAACAGAUGCUAAUACCGCAUAAAACCUAACACCGCAUGGUGUAGGGUUGAAAGAUGGUUUCGGCUAUCACUUUAGGAUGGACCCGCGGUGCAUUAGUUAGUUGGUGAGGUAAAGGCUCACCAAGACCGUGAUGCAUAGCCGACCUGAGAGGGUAAUCGGCCACACUGGGACUGAGACACGGCCCAGACUCCUACGGGAGGCAGCAGUAGGGAAUCUUCCACAAUGGACGAAAGUCUGAUGGAGCAACGCCGCGUGAGUGAAGAAGGUUUUCGGAUCGUA
rnacentral:rRNA from 1 species